rnacentral:rRNA from 1 species
GACGAACGCUGGCGGCGUGCCUAAUACAUGCAAGUCGAGCGAGCUUGCCUAGAUGAAUUUGGUGCUUGCACCAGAUGAAACGAGAUACAAGCGAGCGGCGGACGGGUGAGUAACACGUGGGUAACCUGCCCAAGAGACUGGGAGAACACCUGGAGACAGAGGCUAAUACGGGAUAACAACACUAGAGGCAUGUCUAGAGUUUAAAAGAUGGUUCUGCUAUCACUCUGGGAUGGACCUACGUUGCAUUAGCUAGUUGGUAGGGCAACGGCUUACCAAGGCAAUGAUGCAUAGCCGAGUUGAGAGACUGAUCGGCCACAUUGGGACUGAGACACGGCCCAGACUCCUACGGGAGGCAGCAGUAGGGAAUCUUCCACAAUGGACGAAAGUCUGAUCCAGCCACGCCGCGUGAGUGAAGAAGGGUUUCGGCUCGUAAAGCUCUUUUGGUAGUGAAGAAAGAUAGUGGUAUUAACUCGCCUUUAUUUGACGUUAAUUACUUAGAAAGUCACGGCUAACUACGUG